GAUGAACGCUGGCGGCGUGCCUAAUACAUGCAAGUCGAGCGAACAGAUGAGGAGCUUGCUCCUCUGACGUUAGCGGCGGACGGGUGAGUAACACGUGGAUAACCUACCUAUAAGACUGGGAUAACUUCGGGAAACCGGAGCUAAUACCGGAUAAUAUAUUGAACCGCAUGGUUCAAUAGUGAAAGACGGUUUUGCUGUCACUUAUUGAUGGAUCCGCGCCGCAUUAGCUAGUUGGUAAGGUAACGGCUUACCAAGGCAACGAUGCGUAGCCGACCUGAGAGGGUGAUCGGCCACACUGGAACUGAGACACGGUCCAGACUCCUACGGGAGGCAGCAGUAGGGAAUCUUCCGCAAUGGGCGAAAGCCUGACGGAGCAACGCCGCGUGAGUGAUGAAGGUCUUCGGAUCGUAAAACUCUGUUAUUAGGGAAGAACAAAUGUGUAAGUAACUAUGCACGUCUUGACGGUACCUAAUCAGAAAGCCACGGCUAACUACGUG
rnacentral:rRNA from 1 species